rnacentral:rRNA from 1 species
CUGCCCAAUGAUAAUUUUAAUGGCUGCAGUAUCAAUAACUGUACUAAGGUAGCAUAAUAAUUAGUUUUUUUAUUGAAAACUAGAAUGAAAGAUUAAAUGAAAUAUAACCUAUAUAAAUAAAAAUAAAUAUUGAAAUUAAAAUUUAAGUUAAAAUUCUUAAAUUAAAUUAAAAGACGAGAAGACCCUUUAGAAUUUUAUAUAUAUAACAUUAUACUUAUAAUGUCUAUACAUAUUUAAUUGGGGUAAUUUUAAAAUUUAAAAAACUUUUAAAUAAAUUAACAUAAAUUUAUGAAUAUAUAAUCCUAUAAAUAUARAUUAUUAAAAUAAAUUACCUUAGGGAUAAC